rnacentral:tRNA from 1 species
GGGUCGGUAGUUCUGUUGGUGAGAUUACCGGCCUGUCACGCCGGGGGUCGCGGGUUCGAGUCCCGUCCGCUCCGCCA